rnacentral:rRNA from 1 species
GCGUGCUUAACACAUGCAAGUCGAACGAUGAAGCCCUUCGGGGUGGAUUAGUGGCGAACGGGUGAGUAACACGUGGGCAAUCUGCCCUUCACUCUGGGACAAGCCCUGGAAACGGGGUCUAAUACCGGAUAACACUCUGUCCCGCAUGGGACGGGGUUGAAAGCUCCGGCGGUGAAGGAUGAGCCCGCGGCCUAUCAGCUUGUUGGUGGGGUAAUGGCCUACCAAGGCGACGACGGGUAGCCGGCCUGAGAGGGCGACCGGCCACACUGGGACUGAGACACGGCCCAGACUCCUACGGGAGGCAGCAGUGGGGAAUAUUGCACAAUGGGCGAAAGCCUGAUGCAGCGACGCCGCGUGAGGGAUGACGGCCUUCGGGUUGUAAACCUCUUUCAGCAGGGAAGAAGCGAAAGUGACGGUACCUGCAGAAGAAGCGCCGGCUAACUACGUGCCAGCAGCCGCGGUAAUACGUAGGGCGCAAGCGUUGUCCGGAAUUAUUGGGCGUAAAGAGCUCGUAGGCGGCUUGUCACGUCGGAUGUGAAAGCCCGGGGCUUAACCCCGGGUCUGCAUUCGAUACGGGCUAGCUAGAGUGUGGUAGGGGAGAUCGGAAUUCCUGGUGUAGCGGUGAAAUGCGCAGAUAUCAGGAGGAACACCGGUGGCGAAGGCGGAUCUCUGGGCCAUUACUGACGCUGAGGAGCGAAAGCGUGGGGAGCGAACAGGAUUAGAUACCCUGGUAGUCCACGCCGUAAACGUUGGGAACUAGGUGUUGGCGACAUUCCACGUCGUCGGUGCCGCAGCUAACGCAUUAAGUUCCCCGCCUGGGGGAGUACGGCCGCAAGGCUAAAACUCAAAGGAAUUGACGGGGG